rnacentral:pre_miRNA from 1 species
AGCACAACUGCUGGAUCAUAUGGUCAGCCUAUGUUUAGCUUUGUAAGAAACUGCCAAACUGUUUUCCAAAGUGGGUGUACCAUUUUGCAGUCCCUCUAGCAAU